rnacentral:rRNA from 1 species
AUAGCGGCGGAGCGGUUUGGCACCUCGAUGUCGGCUCAUCGCAUCCUGGGGCUGUAGGCGGUCCCAAGGGGUGGGCUGUUCGCCCAUUAAAGCGGUACGCGAGCUGGGUUCAGAACGUCGUGAGACAGUUCGGUCCCUAUCCUCUGCGCGCGUUGGAAAUUUGAGAAGGUCUGUCCUUAGUACGAGAGGACCGGGACGGACGAACCUCUGGUACACCAGUUGUCCCACCAGGGGCACCGCUGGAUAGCCACGUUCGGACAGGAUAACCGCUGAAAGCAUCUAAGCGGGAAACCCACCUCAAAACCAGGUAUCCCUGAGAGCCGUGCAAGACCAGCACGUCGAUAGGCCGGGUGUGGAAGCGCUGCGAGGCGUGAAGCUAACCGGUACUAAUUGCUCGAUAGGCUUGAUCGA